CUCAUUAAAUCAGUUAUAGUUUAUUUGAUGGUCUCUUUUGUCUUUUUUUACCCACUUGGAUAACCGUGGUAAUUCUAGAACUAAUACAUGCGCAAGGUCCCGAGCGCGGAGGGUAGGGCUUCACGGCUCUAUCCUUGCAUGCGUAGAGGGAUGUAUUUAUUAGGUUAAACAACCAGCAUUUUCAUUUCUGGUGAUUCAUAGUAACUCUUUCGGAUCGCAUUCAUG
rnacentral:rRNA from 1 species